CAAUAGCGUAUAUUAAAGUUGUUGCGGUUAAAAAGCUCGUAGUUGGAUUUCUGCUGAAGGCAGCCGGUCCAUGUUCGACGUGCGCAUCUGGAUUGACUUCGGCAUCCUCUCAGAUAACGAUUCUGUGCUUGAUUGCAUGGAGCGGAGUUUGAGACUUUUACUUUGAGGAAAAUAGAGUGUUCACGGCAGGCAAUCGCCCUGAAUAUAUUAGCAUGGAAUAAUAAAAUAGGAUCUUGGUUCUAUUUUGUUGGUUUCUAGAACGAAGAUAAUGAUUAAUAGGGACAAUUGGGGGCAUUCGUAUUAACGCGUCAGAGGUGGAAUUCUUGGAUUGCGUUACGACGAACUACUGCGAAAGCAUUUGCCAAGGAUGUUUNCAUUGA
rnacentral:rRNA from 1 species